rnacentral:rRNA from 1 species
UACGUAGGGGGCAAGCGUUGUCCGGAAUCGUUGGGCGUAAAGCGCGUGUAGGCGGCCCGGUAAGUCCGCUGUGAAAGUCGGGGGCUCAACCCUCGAAUGCCGGUGGAUACUGUCGGGCUAGAGUGCGGAAGAGGCGAGUGGAAUUCCUGGUGUAGCGGUGAAAUGCGCAGAUAUCAGGAGGAACACCAAUUGCGAAGGCAGCCCCCUGGGCUAACACUGACGCUCAGGCACGAAAGCUAGGGGAGCAAACAGG